rnacentral:rRNA from 1 species
AACCUCCCAACCCCUGUGAACUUACCACUGUUUCCUCGGCGUGCGCACCUGGUUGCCCGCGGGGGAUCCGAGCCUACCCUGUAGCUACCCUGUAGCUACCCUGUAGACCCGGGUCCUCAGCACACGGCGCCGCUCAAGGUCCCGCCGAAGUACCCUGAACUCUGUUUAACGUGGAAUUCUGAAUGCUUCAACUAAAUAAGUUAAAACUUUCAACAACGGAUCUCUUGGUUCUGGCAUCGAUGAAGAACGCAGCGAAAUGCGAUAAGUAAUGUGAAUUGCAGAAUUCAGUGAAUCAUCGAAUCUUUGAACGCACAUUGCGCCCAUUAGUAUUCUAGUGGGCAUGCCUAUUCGAGCGUCAUUUCAACCCUUAAGCCUCUGUUGCUUAGCGUUGGGAGUCUACGGGUUACCCUGUAGUUCCUGAAAACCAUUGGCGGAGUCAGGGAGCACUCUAAGCGUAUUACACAAUCUUUUUGUCUCGCUUUGGAUAUUGCCCCGCCUCCACGCCGUAAAA